rnacentral:rRNA from 1 species
GACGAACGCUGGCGGCGUGCCUAACACAUGCAAGUCGAGCGGAGAUACAUUGAAGAUUUAUCGGAUAUGUAUCUUAGCGGCGGACGGGUGAGUAACGCGUGGGUAACCUGCCUUAUACAGGGGGAUAACACAGGGAAACUUGUGCUAAUACCGCAUAAUAUCAUUGUAUGGCAUCAUGUGAUGAUCAAAGGAGCAAUCCGGUAUAAGAUGGACCCGCGUCCAAUUAGCUAGUUGGUGGUGUAACGGACCACCAAGGCGACGAUUGGUAGCCGAACUGAGAGGUUGAUCGGCCACAUUGGGACUGAGACACGGCCCAGACUCCUACGGGAGGCAGCAGUGGGGGAUCUUGCACAAUGGGCGAAAGCCUGAUGCAGCGACGCCGCGUGAGCGAAGAAGGCCUCGGUUGUAAGACUCUGUCUGGAGGGACGGAACGAAAAUAGACGGUAACCGUCCGGACGGAAGGACCACGGCGUAACUAACGUACGCCGACGCAGCCGACC